UGCCCAGCAACUCCUAUCCCUACCUCCUCACGGUACCGGCCGGAAACUCUGAGCAACCUUAGGGAAGAUCGGGUAACCAACCAACCCCGGUGGGAACUUUGGUCGUAGGCUGACAGGGAAGG
rnacentral:ribozyme from 1 species